rnacentral:rRNA from 1 species
AAGUUAGAGACUUCUCUUGAUCUUACGGGUGGUGGUGCAUGGCCGUUUUUAGUCCUUGGAGUGAUUUGUCUGCUUAAUUGCGAUAACGGACGAGACCUUAACCUGCUAAAUAGGGCUGCGAGCAUCUGCUCGGGUGCUCUUCUUAGAGGGACUAUGGGUAUCAAACCCAUGGAAGUUUGAGGCAACAACAGGUCUGUGAUGCCCUUAGACGUUCUGGGCCGCACGCGCGCUACACUGACGGAGCCAGCAAGUCCAACCUUGGUCGAGAGGCCCGGGUAAUCUCGUGAAACUCCGUCGUGCUGGGGAUAGAGCAUUGUAAUUUUUGCUCUUCAACGAGGAAUUCCUAGUAAGCGCAAGUCAUCAGCUUGCGUUGAUUACGUCCCUGCCCUUUGUACACACCGCCCGUCGCUACUACCGAUUGAAUGGCUUAGUGAGGCUUCAAGAUUGGCGCCGCGGGAGGGGCAACUUUCCCAUGGGGCCGAGAAUCUAGUCAAACUUGGUCAUUUAGAGGUCGUAAAAGUCGUAACAAGGUUUCCGUAGGUGAACCUGCGGAAGGAUCAUUACUGUGAUUUAGUACUACACUGCGUGAGCGGAACGAAAACAACAACACCUAAAAUGUGGAAUAUAGCAUAUAGUCGACAAGAGAAAUCUACGAAAAACAACAAAACUUUCAACAACGGAUCUCUUGGUUCUCGCAUCGAUGAAGAGCGCAGCGAAAUGCGAUACCUAGUGUGAAGUGCAGCCAUCGUGAAUCAUCGAGUUCUUGAACGCACAUUGCGCCCCUCGGCAUUCCGGGGGGCAUGCCUGUUUGAGCGUCGUUUCCAUCUUGCGCGUGC